rnacentral:misc_RNA from 1 species
UAAAGGAAAAUUAUAGUGUUCGAGCAAAGUGAUGAAAUGUCAACUACUAGUCAAGUAUAAGGCACGUUUUGGAAUAUCAAGGCUAAGUGGUCACUAAUCACAAGCUGUUCUACAUCAAGCAAGUUGAAUAGUGAUUUGUAUCUACGAAUGAGUCCUGCCCCGAACAAAGAUAUUUCUGUAACAACUGUUCUGAUUUCAACAGCAGCUGAUGCAAACAGAAAGCGAAAAUUGUUUAGGAGCUACAGAGAAAGAAAA